rnacentral:rRNA from 1 species
CCUACGGGUGGCAGCAGUGGGGAAUAUUGGACAAUGGGGGCAACCCUGAUCCAGCCAUGCCGCGUGUGUGAAGAAGGCCCUCGGGUUGUAAAGCACUUUCAGUGAGGAAGAACGCCUGGUGGUUAAUACCCAUCAGGAAAGACAUCACUCACAGAAGAAGCACCGGCUAACUCCGUGCCAGCAGCCGCGGUAAUACGGAGGGUGCGAGCGUUAAUCGGAAUUACUGGGCGUAAAGCGCGCGUAGGUGGCUUGAUAAGCCGGUUGUGAAAGCCCCGGGCUCAACCUGGGAACGGCAUCCGGAACUGUCAAGCUAGAGUGCAGGAGAGGAAGGUAGAAUUCCCGGUGUAGCGGUGAAAUGCGUAGAGAUCGGGAGGAAUACCAGUGGCGAAGGCGGCCUUCUGGACUGACACCGACACUGAGGUGCGAAAGCGUGGGUAGCAAACAGGAUUAGAUACCCUAGUAGUC